UCAUGAUCUAGAGAAGGUAAGUUUUCACUGUCAAGUCAUUUAGGUCCUUUUUUACCCUGUAGCCAUGUAAUAUGAUUUUGAGGWUUUGCAUUGAGUUUGCAAGGCCUCAGGACUGCAGCUUCUCAGGCCUGCUCUGCCUGAACUUUUCUUGACCUGCCUGCAGCUUUUUGAAACUAAAGUUUUAACUUAGUUUACUUACAACAGCAAUAUCAAGCUGUUGUUCUGGGUGGAAUGAGAUAUUUGCAACUCCCACAUAAUGAUGCAGUAGAGAGAAAUUUAGGCCUGGYACAGUAGCAGAAGCCUUCAGAAGUGGAGAAACAGGAUGCGGUCUGGAGAGUACAGGCACGGGAUGGUAAGAGAYGGGGCACARCUUGGCUUUGGAGACCCCACAGCUAUAGACCACUCACCAAUGGUCAGUGUAAGAAAUGCAGACCUGGAGCAGGAGAAAACUGGUUUUAGGGGUAACAAAGAGAACAAAGAAGUAGUAUCUAACACAAGUCGAAGGUACCAUAUAUAGUAAUUUUGGAGAUGACAUGGAGAUGCAGAGCAAUGAAGAAAGAGCAAGGUGUAAAAAGUGUGUUAGCAAACAUAUGAAAGUGACCCCAAGUGGAUACUAGAGUGAGGAAGAAGAAGUCAUCAAUUUGAACAACAUCUUCCUCCUGGUGAGGGAGUAACCGGAGGAACCAGGACUCUGCAGGGGCCCAGGUGUCUGAGGGGGCCUUGGGGGCAGUUUGGGGGCAGGGGGGUGCCCAGAUGCCUGGGCCCCUCGGACACCCGGGCCCUCUGCACACAGGGGUGGAACGCCAGCCGUUGGGGGCCACCCAGACGCCUGGGCCCCUGGGCUGGGCAUUGGGGUGCAGCCCAAGAGCUGACCCCUCCCCCGUGGACAUCGGAGGGGCCCAGGCGUCCUGGCCCCCCUCCCCCCCCCGAGCCAAACGCCCUGCCCCAUGUACAGGGGGCCCAGGCGUCCAGGUGAUUCCCACUCCUGACCCCCCUCCCCCGUAUGUAGGGGGCCCAGGCAUUCGGGCACCCCCGUGUGGCCGCCACUCCUCACUGCACAAGCGGCCCAGGCAUCCUGGUGCUUCCACCCCACCAAACCCUCUCACCCUGCACUGGGAGGACCCAGGCAUCCAGGUGCCCCCCCAAUGGACCCCAAAGCCCCCCGGACGCCUGGGCCCCGUCCGAUGCCUCAGAUGCCUGGGACUGCUGUGCGGGGGGAGGGGGCGUUAGGUUGGGAUGAGCCGGACGCCUGGGCCCCUCGGACGCCUGGGCCCCUCACACGCAGGGUGAAGGGGGGGUCGGCUUGGGGGGCACCCGGACUCCUGGGCCCUCUGUACAAGGGAGGAGGGGGGAGCUCUUGGAGGGGUCCCAGACACCUGGGUCCCUGUAAAGUCCUGGGUGUCCCGGACGCCCGGGCCCCUCCAUAGAGUGAGUGAGGGGUUGAGGAUGGAGCCCGGACGCCUGGGCCCCUCAGAGCAUUGGGUCUCUCGGACACCUGGGGCCCUCCCACGUGGGGUGAGGUGGGGGGCACCAGGACACCUGAGCCCCUAAGAUGCUCCUGGACGCCUGGGUCCCCCAGAUGCCUGGGCCCUCCACAGAGGCCACGAGGAGAGGUGGGCAGCCGGACGCCUGGGCUCCUCAGAUAUGGGGCAUGGGGGGGGG
rnacentral:lncRNA from 1 species